rnacentral:lncRNA from 1 species
AUUAUCAUCGUCAAUAAAAAGGAAUAUUUUAUAAUCACGCUAGUGUUGGAAUUUUUUAUAGCUGAUUACACCAAUCUCAACAACAAAUUUUGUGCUGAAAAAUUCAAUCGUUAUUCUAGCUUCUUCCGCUUACGAAAGAGCUACAUGAGUAUACAGAGUGAGUCAGCUAAGAGUUUCUAGUAGGUGGGCGCGUAAAGGUCACGUGAAGGUCAAGUUCGCUUUUUUAAACGAAAUCAUACAUUUUUUAAUACACUAAACAAUACAAAUCGAAAUUCUUUAUGAAAAAAAACUAUUAAUCUACUUGUGUCGAAAAACUAUUAGUUCAGCAGAUAUUCUAGCUUUUAUUUUGUAAAAUUUUUCGUAUGAAAGACAAAGGAGGACGUAAAACAGUUACUCAGGAUAGUGUCCAUGAGCUUUCACUCUUAGUUGAUUCACUCCAUAUAUAUUUAUGCAAUAUCAGGAAAAAGGGUACGAUUAACAACCUUUUAACUAAGCAUAUACUUAUUAAUUGAUACUGGAAUGAGCAAUAGAAAAAUAUUGAGAAUAUAAAAAAAGCAGAAAAACCCGUCGGGCAAGAUAUAUCUUUAAUUCAUCGAGGAAACAGAAGAAAAUAAAACCAAAAUUCUAUCGAGAAACCACAGCUUAGAAGGAUACAAUGACAAAAAUGAAAAGAAUAGAAAAAUGUGUAAAUUUGAUUCGCAAUCUUUUUUCAAUCAAUUUACAUUAUUAAAUUCAAUCCUUUUAAACAUUCUGAUAACUAUGAAAUGGCAAUCCAAAGAUUCGCUUAAUAUUUCUUCCCUCAUUAUUCCUUUCAGCAAGAUCCUGUAAUUUUAUAAAAUCAAAAAGAAUUGAAAUAUUUGUAAUAACACUAUGAUAAAUUAUUAUACUAGAUCCUUGAUUGGUCAAAGAAUUGAUCGAUUUGAAACAACUAAGACAUUCAUCGCAAAAGUGAAAAAGCCGGUAGUAAAACAACAAUAAAAGUUAUCUCCGAAUUUAAUGAGCAGAAAAAUUGAUAUACCUGAGUGGCAACAAGGCUGAAAACAUUCACACAGGAACAUACCCAUGCGACUAAAUACGUGUUCUAUGAUAGAAACUGCAAUAUAAAAAUCGAGAACAUCGGAGUCAACUUGUCAAAAUCGAAAGAGAGUUCAAAAGGCGUAAAGUAAACGAAUAUACUCGAUAGAAGUCACCAUGCUUGUACUUUCUCUGCUGGUUGUCACGGUUCUUGGCAUUUGACAGAAGCAUUAAAAAGAGCAGGAAGAUAUGAAGAGAAAGCCCUAGAAUCAAAAAAAGGAAUUAUUAAAGGAGUGUAUAAAGGAAAGAGAGAGAAACUGAGGAAAUGGCCAUGAA